rnacentral:rRNA from 1 species
UAACGCGUGGAUAACCUGCCUCACACUGGGGGACAACAGUUAGAAAUGACUGCUAAUACCGCAUAAGCGCACAGCACCGCAUGGUACAGUGUGAAAAACUCCGGUGGUGUGAGAUGGAUCCGCGUCUGAUUAGCCAGUUGGCGGGUAACGGCCCACCAAAGCGACGAUCAGUAGCCGACCUGAGAGGGUGACCGGCCACAUUGGGACUGAGACACGGCCCAA